ensembl:lncRNA
CCUCUGGCUUUAUAGCGAGAGUUAGGAGGACAUGUAGAGAAUGAUAGAAGGUUAGCAUCCUCUGGCUUUAUAGCGAGAGUUAGGAGGACAUGUAGAGAAUGAUAGAAGGUUAGCGGCCUCUGGCUUUAUAGCGAGAGUUAGGAGGACAUGUAGAGAACGAUAGAAGGUUAGCGUCCUCUAGCCUUAUAGCGAGAGUUAGGAGGACAUGUAGAGAACUAUAGAAGGUUAGCGUCCACUGGCUUUAUAGCGAGAGUUAGGAGGACAUGUAGAGAAUGAUAGAAGGUUAGCGUCCUAUAGCCUUAUAGCGAGAGUUAGGAGGACAUGUAGAGAACUAUAGAAGGUUAGCGUCCUCUGGCCUUAUAGCGAGAGUUAGGAGGACAUGUAGAGAACUAUAGAAGGUUAGCGUCCUCUGGCCUUAUAGCGAGA